UACAUGUUAAGUCAAACGUGUGACUGGUCUACUUGGAAAAAUGGAUUAAUAACUUAUCUAGCCAGGAUUUCUUAUUUAUCCCAAGCCAUCCUGGUCUAUUCACAUUUGCUUUUUUGAUUCUUAAGUGUGGAAGUGAGGAUGAUUGGAGAGAAAUUAAGAUGAGUGAGCUAUUAUUGUAAUCAGGUAACUAAGAAUAGCAUGAAAUGCCAUGGAAAUCCAAAGCCAUUCUCAAAGAGGAAAUGUGUAACCAGUCCAUGGCAAAGGAUAUUUCAAGCUGAAUUCAGUAUGUGCUAUCCCAUUGUUGUAAACUAAUUGCAAAUCAAAGCUCUUAGAGUACAAUGUUUAAAAAUAUAUACCUUGGAUCACAUGAUGAGAAUUAUCUCAUUAAAUUUGUUACCUUUAAGGAUUUGAAUUUUAUCUUACUCUAUGCAUGCAUGCAGAAAGGAAUAAAACCAAAA
rnacentral:lncRNA from 1 species